rnacentral:tRNA from 1 species
GCCAGCAUGGUGUAGUGGUUUGAGUGUUGGACUACCACUCUGGAGACCUGGGUUUGAUUCCCCGUUCUGACA